UCCACCCUCUAAGGGCAAGAAAUCAGCAGGCUCUUUUUCAUUAGAUAAUUGAGACGAAGAAACCUUCUUCAAGUUCUUCAACACUUUCUUCUCCUUAGCCCCCAUCUCACUGAGANNNNNNNCGCUACUGGAAAAGGUACUGUGGUUGCUGGGAAAACGACCUGUCUAGUUGCCAUUGUCAGUAACAACAGCAAUAGAUGAAUAGCGAGCGCAAAGGAGUGAAGGAGAAUG
rnacentral:misc_RNA from 1 species